rnacentral:tRNA from 1 species
GGGGCUGGUUGCGUAGCUGGUGCUUGCCUAGGUCUUCAAAACCUUUUGGGAGGUGCGUGCCAUCUCUGGUGGGUUCGAUUCCCACACAGUCCCGCCA